rnacentral:rRNA from 1 species
GACAGAGGAUGCAAGCGUUAUCCGGAAUGAUUGGGCGUAAAGCGUCUGUAGGUGGCUUUUCAAGUCCGCCGUCAAAUCCCAGGGCUCAACCCUGGGCAGGCGGUGGAAACUACCAAGCUGGAGUACGGUAGGGGCAGAGGGAAUUUCCGGUGGAGCGGUGAAAUGCAUUGAGAUCGGAAAGAACACCAACGGCGAAAGCAGCUACGUGCUGGGACCGACAACUGACACUGAGAGACGAAAGCUAGGGGAGCAAAUGGG